rnacentral:rRNA from 1 species
UGGUAGUNCACGCCGUAAACGAUGAGUGCUAAGUGUUGGAGGGUUUCCGCCCUUCAGUGCUGCAGUUAACGCAUUGAGCACUCCGCCUGGGGAGUACGACCGCAAGGUUGAAACUCAAGGGAAUUGACGGGGACCCGCACAAGCGGUGGAGCAUGUGGUUUAAUUCGAAGCAACGCGAAGAACCUUACCAAGUCUUGACAUCCCUUGACCACUCUAGAGAUAGAGCUUUCCCUUCGGGGACAAAGUGACAGGUGGUGCAUGGUUGUCGUCAGCUCGUGUCGUGAGAUGUUGGGUUAANNNNNNNNNCGAGCGCAACCCUUAUUACUAGUUGCCAGCAUUCGGUUGGGCACUCUAGUGAGACUGCCGGUGACAAACCGGAGGAAGGUGGGGAUGACGUCAAAUCAUCAUGCCCCUUAUGACUUGGGCUACACACGUGCUACAAUGGAUGGUACAACGAGCAGCGAACUCGCGAGGGUAAGCGAAUCUCUUAAAGCCAUUCUCAGUUCGGAUUGUAGGCUGCAACUCGCCUACAUGAAGCCGGAAUCGCUAGUAAUCGCGGAUCAGCACGCCGCGGUGAAUACGUUCCCGGGUCUU